rnacentral:lncRNA from 1 species
ACUGGGCCCUAACUCCUAAGGAUUUUAGCAUUCCCAAUAGCACCAAUGGCUGAUGACGAAACCUAGCAUAUGGCUCACUGGGGGCCAUGUAAGAUCCAAGCUGCUAUGUUCUUCUGGGCUCCCUUGACUUGUUAUGGGUCUUUGUUUCACUGUAAGGAUAAGCAUGCCACAUUACAGGUUUUGACUAGAAGUACUGCAUGUAACCUUUAUUUUCCUAAAUGACCUUAGUCAUUGCUAGAACAGCAGGUAAUAGAGAUGCUAAGAAGUUUCUACUUUAAAUUUUUUUAUGUUUUAGUUGUUAAAAUGAGGAGGCCCUAUAUGGCCCAGUGGAUAAAGCCAUGUGAACCUGACAUCCUGAGUUCAGAUCCCCAGAGUUCAUGUAAUAACAAGACCCAGUAGUGUCCAUGUCCAUAAUUUAUUUCCGUGUACUCAGUGGAGAGGUGGAAUGUAGAGAUGGGAGAAAUGCCAGAAGCUUGCAAGCAAGCUAGCCUAACCUACACAGUAGAGAACAAAAGAGCUUGUCUCAAACAAGAUAGAAAGUGAGGACCAACACCCCAAGCUUUCCUCAGACCUUCACACACACUUGACACACAUAUGAACAUAUACAUGUAUACAUAUAUAAAAAAAUCCUAAAACCUUGUCAUGGUGACUAUUUACUUCAUUUGAAAUAAAGUACAAAGAAGGGUUUUUUAAAUUGCUACAAAAAUCAGUCUAAAUAGAAAUAAUAUUCUUUAGAGGAUUUGAGAUUCAAGGUCCAUAUGAAUUAUCUCUCCACUCUGGAAAAAGUAUAUCCACUGUAUUUUAGAAAAUUGAUAAUUAACAUUUUGAGAAUGUGGAUAGAAGUCAUACCUAAUGAUGAAAGCAUCUUAAAGAAGUGAGUCCCAGGGACCACAGAUGCUGAUGUCUGUGUUCAUUCCAGGCAUAAACAUAAGCUGAUUAUUUAUCUUAGGUUAGUUAUUUGUCUAGCAUCUCAUAUGGAGCAGUGUAUGAACCAAAAUCUAGUGUUUUGACACUUCAAACAGUCUCAUUUCCAUUGUGUCCUGAGAAAUGCUAACUGUAUCCUCUGCCCUAAUCCACCUUUUUUUUUUUUUCUGGAUCUGAGCCAUAUAACCAGAAAAAAUUUUGGGGGACAGUUCUAAUAGAUGGUGACAGUUGACCAUUUUUAACUGACAAGAGCAUGUUAUAGGAUACAAAUGAGUUUAGUCUACACCAUGAAUAGCAUAGGUUCAGUGGAAAUAAGGAAUUUUCUGGUGGCAGAAGGAUAAUAAAUGCUAGAAGUGGUCUAAGAACAGUUGUAAAGCAGCCUUCCCUAGAGAACUUUAUAGAAUACAUGAAUUCCACUCUGCUCAGGAUUUGAAAUAGAAUCCUCCUUAAACUGAUGCUAGAUAAAGUUUCACACAGGCCCUAAGAGUAUUUAAAAAUAUUAGCUGAUGGGGUUAGGGUAUAGCUCAGCGGAAGCAUAUAGAAAGCCCUGCGUUCAAUCUCCUACCCCAGAAACUUUCAAUUAACUAAAUUAUUAGUUUGAUGUAUGUCAAACAUAUCAUACUUGAUAGAUGCAGUGGAAAGUAGUUUAGUGCCUUCUGCAUGCCUAUCUUUUUCCUGCAAUAGGUAUAAGACAAAUAAAACAAAAACAGC